rnacentral:rRNA from 1 species
UACGUAGGUCCCGAGCGUUAUCCGGAUUUAUUGGGCGUAAAGCGAGCGCAGGCGGUUAGAUAAGUCUGAAGUUAAAGGCUGUGGCUUAACCAUAGUACGCUUUGGAAACUGUUUAACUUGAGUGCAGAAGGGGAGAGUGGAAUUCCAUGUGUAGCGGUGAAAUGCGUAGAUAUAUGGAGGAACACCGGUGGCGAAAGCGGCUCUCUGGUCUGUAACUGACGCUGAGGCUCGAAGCGUGGGGAGCAACAGGAUUAGAUA